rnacentral:rRNA from 1 species
UUCGUACGAAGGCUUCCUAGUGGCGAACGGGUGAGUAACGCGUUGGUGACCUGCCCCAAAGUGGGGGAUAACUCCGGGAAACUGGAGCUAAUACCCCAUGUGGUCAAGCGGAUUAGAAGCCGCAUGACUAAAGGAGUAAUUCGCUUUGGGAGGGACCUGCGUCCCAUCAGCUAGUUGGUAGGGUAACGGCCUACCAAGGCGACGACGGGUAGGGGGCCUGAGAGGGUGGCCCCCCACAAUGGAACUGAAACACGGUCCAU